GACAGAGGGUGCAAACGUUGUUCGGAAUUACUGGGCGUAAAGCGUGUGUAGGCUGCCCUGCAAGUCGGAUGUGAAAGCCCUGGGCUCAACCUAGGAAGUGCACUCGAAACUGCAGGGCUGGAGUCCUGGAGAGGAAGGCGGAAUUCUCGGUGUAGAGGUGAAAUUCGUAGAUAUCGAGAGGAACACCGGUGGCGAAGGCGGCCUUCUGGACAGUGACUGACGCUGAGACGCGAAAGCGUGGGGAGCAAACAGG
rnacentral:rRNA from 1 species